UUCCAGUAAAAAACCUUUACUCUUAAGAAUGUUUUCAUGAUAGAAACACCACUGCAAUACAGUUGAAAUCAUUCUUUUUUUCUAGAAGUGCGAUUUUAUUUUUCUUCUGAAUCCAAGGUAAAGUUUGACUCGUUCUCAACCGGUUACCCAAUUUGUUAGAGAAAUAAAGUUCAGUUGAUCUCAUUCAGGACGGUUGUCUCUGUAACUCUUCCUGUCGUAUCAUGCAGCUUGCAGAUUCACAAACAGGAUGUUGUGGUCACGUUCUGAUGUAUUCUGUCGCCUCCUUUCUCUCGAUCGCUCUGCAAAAGGCCAAACUCCAGCCAGACUCACGACAAACUCCAGAUCAGCUCAGACUUUAAACUUUAACUCAGAUUUAACUCAAAGUAAAGUUAGAAGGAUCUCUGAUUGAUUAGGAAGUGAACAAACAGCACACAAGCUCACGUGUGUUAUCAUGAUGCAGGAGCCUGUUUUUGACGAGUCGAUGCUUUAAAACGAUAGCUCGCUGGAAAAUGAAUCUCCUGUCAAUAUUUGCUCAACUUCCUGCUGUCUCAAUCUGAAACACAAAAUGAGAAUUGGCUGACAAAUCUUUUCACCGCUUUAUUCCAUGCAUAAACAGUUCCAUGUCUGCAUGAAAGUAGUACAUAUGGCUUCUGCGCAAUAGCAUCACGCCAGGUCCGUUGUAAUCGAGCGUGAAGCCAGUUCGAAUAUGUGGAAGUGUGAAUGAGAUUUGAGAGCUGCCAUUUCAGUCUGUUCCUCAUUCAAAUCUAUCAUAUGACUUCAGAUCAUGACUGCAAGGUGUUUUUUCAUUUGUCAUUUCAUUUCUAUGAAACGCUUCAAACAUCUCUUUUUGGGUUUUUAGGGGUUUUUUAGAAUAUAUGUGCGCUUGGAAUAACAUUUGCAUUAAAGCAUCUUAAAAUAAAUCCAAGAUCUUCCACUAAGAUGCAUGUGCACACAAUAAAAACAAUUAUUUGAAUAAUGACAUGCAGCGAGGACCUGACCUGAUUUUUGUGCAUUAAGCACACAAGUUAUUUCAUAAAUCAUAAAUGCAUUUAAAUAUAUAAUAUUCUAGAGUGUUUAUUAAAAGCUUG
ensembl:lncRNA